rnacentral:rRNA from 1 species
UACGUAUGGUGCAAGCGUUAUCCGGAUUUACUGGGCGUAAAGGGAGCGCAGGCGGCGCGCCAAGUCCGAUGUGAAACCCCGGGGCUCAACCCCGGGCAUGCAUUGGAAACUGGCGGGCUGGAGUGCCGGAGAGGUAAGCGGAAUUCCUAGUGUAGCGGUGAAAUGCGUAGAUAUUAGGAGGAACACCAGUGGCGAAGGCGGCUCACUGGACGGCAACUGACGCUGAGGCUCGAAAGCGUGGGGAGCAAACAGG